GAAACCCGCAAGGGCGAGUACAGUGGCGCACGGGUGCGUAACACGUGGAUAAUCUGCCCUGAAGCCCGGAAUAACUCCCCGAAAGGGGUGCUAAUGCCGGAUGAGACCACGGGGACUUCGGUCCCUGAGGGAAAAGGUGGCCUCUGCAUGCAAGCUAUCACUUCAGGAUGAGCCCGCGGCCCAUCAGCUAGUUGGCGGGGUAAUGGCCCACCAAGGCUACGACGGGUAGCUGGUCUGAGAGGACGAUCAGCCACACUGGAACUGAGACACUGCCCAGACUCCUACGGGAGGCUGCAGUCGAGAAUCUUCGGCAAUGGGCGCAAGCCUGACCGAGCGACGCCGCGUGGAGGACGAAGGCCUUCGGGUUGUAAACUCCUGUCGAGGGGGAAGAAGGGGUAACACCUUGACUGAUCCCUGGAGGAAGCACGGGCUAAGUUCGUGCCAACAGCCGCGGUAAGACGAACCGUGCGAACGUUAUUCGGAAUCACUGGGCUUAAAGCGCGUGUAGGCGGAACGGCACGUCGGUCGCUGAAAUCCCCCGGCUCAACCGGGGAACGGGCGCCGAUACGACCGUUCUCGAGGGACGUAGGGGGACCUGGAACUUCCGGUGGAGCGGUGAAAUGCGUUGAGAUCGGAAGGAACGCCCGUGGCGAAAGCGAGGUCCUGGACGUUUUCUGACGCUGAGACGCGAAAGCCAGGGGAGCGAACGGGAUUAGAUACCCCGGUAGUCCUGGCCGUAAACGAUGGGCACUGGGUAGGGGGCUCGCCGAUGGGCUCCCUGCCGAAGCGAAAGCGUGAAGU
rnacentral:rRNA from 1 species